rnacentral:sRNA from 1 species
GAGCAUUGUAGCCACGACGCGCGGCAGC